rnacentral:rRNA from 1 species
ACUUUCAGCAGUGAGGAAGGUGGAUAUGUUAAUAGCAUAUUCAUUUGACGUUAGCUGCAGAAGAAGCACCGGCUAACUCCGUGCCAGCAGCCGCGGUAAUACGGAGGGUGCGAGCGUUAAUCGGAAUUACUGGGCGUAAAGCGCAUGCAGGUGGUUUGUUAAGUUCAGAUGUGAAAGCCCGGGGCGUCAACCUCGGAAUUGCAUUUGUAAACUGGCAAACUAGAGUACUGUAGAGGGGGUAGGAAUUUCAGGUGUAGCGGUGAAAUAGCGUAGAGAUCUGAAGGAAUACCGGUGGCGAAGGCGGCCCCCUCGGACAGAUACUGACACUCAGAUGCGAAAGCGUGGGGAGGCAAACAGGAUUAGAUACCCUCGGUAG